GCCUCGCCGGUGGGCGUCUCGCCGUCGCACCCGCAGCGCACUCCUGCCGAGGGAGGCCCUGCCCCCCCCCACACACAGCCCCCGGCGGCGGCCCGUCGUGACGUGCGCGUUCUGACGUCACCCUGCCGGCGCCGCCCUGACGCGUCCUCUCCCUGAUGUCACCCGGCGGCGCCGCGGAGCUGGCUGCUGUCACCUGCUGAGUGGUCAGCGUUCUCGAGUCCGUGCGAGUGCGGUUGGUUUUUUAAAGACCCGGGAACCUCCGGAGUUCCGUUCUGGGCCAGCACAUUCCUGCGAUGAAAAAUAAAAACGUUAGAAAACUUGUCCGGUUUAGCAGAACAAACCUACUCUGCUGGGACUCAAGAGUGGACAAGGAGGAUGGAAGUAACAUCUGUAUACAUCUGCUCCGUGUAAAAUGCCAACCUGUCAUCCCCAGGGAGGUGCAUGGGCCCAUGGUGCACAUGUGUGCACCUUGCACCUGCAGCAGGAGGGCCAGGCGUCAGCACCCAGGAAACACUCUCAGGGUGUGCUCAACAGGGCCACUUUGCCAGGGACCAACAAAUAAAAACCUCUAGACAAGAUCAAUUUCACAUGGGUGCUAGAUGCUCUGAGGAAGUCAACAAGACUGGCAUCCUGAACCCACCUGCCAAAGGACUUGAGAAGGCAGUUCAGUUUUUUAAAAUUAGCCCUACGACUCAUAAAAAUGAUUCUCGCAAAAGGUUCACUUCUUAAGAUGUCCAUACGCAAAAUUAUGGAAGAAAAAUACCAUGUUGAGAUGGCUGUAUUUUCUUCACAAAUAGAUAUUUCUUGUUGAUUUUUGUGGCACUUAGAAGAUGUCCCAGAUUAGAGAUAAUAGUAUCUUUUGAUUAAACAGAAGCUUUGCACUUCACUUUGAUGCACGUACUACCCUCAGAUAUGAUACUAUUAAUAGUUUUACACUCCUUCCAGCAAAGUUCAAACCAUGGUCAUUUCGCUGAUAAUCAGCCUUCAGAUAACAAACAGAUAAUAAACAGAUAUUGCUUGAUGCUUAUAUGGUAAAUAGGGUCAUACAUUUCUUGUUUUCUGUUUUGCAAGUUCGAUGGCCCAGGGCUACAAAAAAGUGCAGUGUGAAAUUGAAAAAGCAAAACUAGAGCUGAGAAUACUUCAGUCAUACUGGUGGGAAUUUGAAGUGUUAUUGAGAAAAGUAUUUACAAAUGGCUUUUUUUAAUGCAUCUCUAUAUAGUAUAGAACACUCAGCCUUGUUCUCAUAUUUUGUUCAGUUCGGAUGGUCACACACCCCUUAAAGUUAGAUAUUAGCACUGUUUAGUAAACCUUUCAUCUAGGUUUAUAGACUACAACAUUUAACCUUUCUCAUAAAAGGAGAUACUUACGUUAAUGUUAGAGGCACAAACAAGCCAGAGUCUUAGAGAACCUGGGAACCCCAAGGGUGUUGUUUAUGGGAAAGGUUUGGUCAACUCCCACACAGCACAGUUGCCACCAAUAGUCAUCUAACUAAUGUAUAAAAACUAGAAAACACAAGGAAAAAGUAAAUUACCCCAAAUCCAAUCCCCAGAAGCAAACACUUAAAGUUCUUCCAGACAUUGUCACAUAGAAAGAUAUUUCCUCCUUAAAAAAAAUUAUACUACACAUGCUCUUCUGUUGCCACUUAAAAAAGAAUUGUCCUUUCUUGUCAGUACAUAUAUCUGCAUUAUUUAAUGCAUAUGCAGUACAGGUUUUUAAUGUACCUGAAUUUAACCAACUGUUGCACAUUUGUUUCCAGUGUAACAAUUACAAUGCUGCAGUGAAGCAGUUAUCUUAAAAAUAUACAUGCAUGUGUGAUGUCCUGUAUACUAUCCCACUCUCAAAGUUAGAAAGUAUGUCCUACACCUGUCUCCCAUCACUCUGAGCACAGUGCCUAGCAUGCGGUAUAUUAGCCAAGAGGACUUAAAUCAGCAGUUCUCCACUAUGGGCAGUUUUGCCACCCUGUCCAGAUGGUGUCCAGACAGACAAAAUGUCUGGAAACAUUUUUGAUUGUCAGGACUAGAGGUGGGGCACUACUGAUAUUUUGUAUAGAGGCCAGGGAGCUGCUAAAUAUUGUACAAUAUGCAGGACAGCCCCCACAGCAUAAGCCUGUGCAAAAUGUCAACAGCACCACUAUGGAGAAACCGUGUUUAAAAUGAUGGAACAAACUACAUUCCACUGAAUUAAGACAUUGAGAUUUUCUUGCACACAACUAGGUGGCUUGCUCAAUUAGCUUUCCUCCAAAUGGGCACCUAGGGCUUCUGUCAUUCUGUGCCUUUGCUGUCUGAGAGCCAUUUGCUUUCAGAUAUUCAGACCGAAAGAAAGCUCACAAUAUCAUGCAGGAAGUUCUACGGCCUGGAAAGAGCAUCACACUUCUGCGCCCAACCACUUCCAUUAGCCAAAUCCUAGUCUUGUGACCCCCACCUAAACUGCAAGGAAGGCUGGGAAGUGUUGUCUUCUAUUUAUCUAGGAAAAGGAAAUGGGAUCUUUGGCAUCUUGCCGACUUCUGUCCCUUUUUUUUUUUUAAUUUAUUUUAAAAACUACAAAUUAAGAUUGGAGAAUGCCAACAUAACACAAAAUUGUUAGAUAAUCUCUUUAAAUACCAUGUUUGUGUAUAGCUGCUCAAUAGGUAUUUGUUGAAUCAUAAUUUUUAUUUUUAAAAGAUUUUAUUUGUUUGAGAGAGGGAGAGAGAAUAUGAGGCAGACUCCGCACUGGGCACAGACCCUGACGCGGGGCUCAAUGCACAGCCAUGAGAUCGUGACCUGAGCUGAAACCAAGCCUAACCAACUGAGCCACUUGUGCCCCAAUAGUGUGUUUUGUUUUUGUUUUUGUUUUUUUUAAGCAAUCAGGUAUUUAUUGAGGGCCUGCAAUGGACCUGCUGGUUAUCUUACAUCAUCUUCCCACCCUCAGAUCUACACUCCAUCCUUCACCUUGUUCUCUGUCCCAGGACCCUGACCUGACUGGGUUGUAUAGUCUCCCUCAUACACUGGCUUCCAGGUGAAUUUGCUGAAGAGGGAAGCCCAGCGGAGGUUGAGAUUAGGCUGUUUAUUUCCCACAUUCCACAUCAAGUUGGCUUGAGCUGGCAAAGUAACUAACCUGUCCUGCACAACCUUCUCCAACCGGGGUCUUGCCAGCUUGCCUUCCUCUCUUUCUUCUCUUUGGACCUAGGCUCCUCCAUUAUCCACACAUCCUGCCUACACCUUUGUGAGUAGUACAUUUAAAAACCAACUCGCUCAGAUGACCCUGAUUUGAGCGUGCUGCUUCAGUUGCAACCCUAGCUGGUAUUAUAGACAUGAAAACCCGAUGGGAACAGUGGGAAACGUUUUCUUUCAAAUACGAUACUAUGUCUGCCCUAAAAAAAAAAAAACACUUACAGGUAUCUAGGAUACCCAAGCCAGGCAUGAGUGGAA